UACGGAGGGUGCGAGCGUUGUCCGGAAUCACUGGGCGUAAAGGGCGCGUAGGUGGCUUGGCAAGCGUGUGGUGAAAGCCCGGGGCUCAACCCCGGGUCUGCCGUGCGAACUGCUAUGGCUUGAGCACUGUAGAGGCAGGUAGAAUUCCGGGUGUAGCGGUGGAAUGCGUAGAGAUCCGGAAGAAUACCGGUGGCGAAGGCGGCCUGCUGGGCAGUGGCUGACACUGAGGCGCGGACAGCGUGGGGGAGCAAACAGG
rnacentral:rRNA from 1 species